UGCCUACAGAUGAUUUGCCGGGGUUCUCCUGUCAUCUUUCUCACUCAUGAUGCUGGGGUUUCCCUCUCGCUAGAGGCCCAGGUUUCUUGCUUAACUCGCACGGGAGAAACGAAAUGUUCCACACCAACCUUGUGCCUGUCUAUCAGUCCGUGUUCUGAGGUUCUGUCUCUGCUGCUGGUGAGAGAUUUGUGCUUUGCGACCCCAGGCUGCCUGGCCCCUUGAGGCUUCUUCAAGCAGCAGGUAUCUGUGCCACUGAGGGAAACAUGAUGGGUGUCACAUACAAUGCUUCACCCAAGCCACUGGGUCAACUGGGGCUACUCAGAGACACGAUAGCCUCUUACGUCUGCAGCAGAGGGUUCAAGACUCUAUUUGUGCAGGAGAAUGUGGGGAAGAGCAACAGGAGCAGAAGGAACAUGCCACAAUGAAGAAACACAUGUGAAGACCAGCACCCAAGGUGUCCAUGC